rnacentral:tRNA from 1 species
GAUCCCGUAGCUCAGUGGAUAGAGCGACAGAUUGCGGAUCUGUAGGUCGGAGGUUCGACCCCUCUCGGGAUCGCCA